AACCCUGAUGCAGCAACGCCGCGUGAGUGAAGAAGGCAUUCGUGUCGUAAAACUCUGUAGUAGGGGAAGAAAGAAAUGACAGUACCCUAAAAGAAAGCCCCGGCUAACUACGUGCCAGCAGCCGCGGUAAUACGUAGGGGGCAAGCGUUAUCCGGAAUAACUGGGCGUAAAGGGUGCGCAGGUGGUUUAACAAGUUAGUGGUGAAAGGCAUAGGCUCAACCAAUGUAAGCCAUUAAAACUGUUUAACUUGAGUGCAGGAGAGGAAAGUGUAAUUCCUAGUGUAGCGGUGAAAUGCGUAGAUAUUAGGAGGAAUACCAGUGGCGAAGGCGACUUUCUGGACUGCAACUGACACUGAGGCACGAAAGCGUGGGGAGCAAACAGGAUUAGAUACCCUGGUAGUCCACGCCGUAAACGAUGAGUACUAGGUGUCGGGUGAAGAACUCGGUGCCGAAGUUAACACAUUAAGUACUCCGCCUGGGGAGUACGCUCGCAAGAGUAAAACUCAAAGGAAUUGACGGGGACCCGCACAAGCAGCGGAGCAUGUGGUUUAAUUCGAAGCAAGCGAAGAACCUACCUAGACUGACAUACCAAUGACAGCCUUUAAUCGAGGACUUUACCUUCGGGUAGAC
rnacentral:rRNA from 1 species